rnacentral:rRNA from 1 species
AGGGACGAAAGCGUGGGUAGCAAACAGAAUUAGAUACCCUGGUAGUCCACGCCCUAAACGAUGCAUGCUUGUUGUUGGUUCCCUUCGGGGUAUCAGUGACGUAGCUAACGCGUUAAGCAUGCCGCCUGGGGAGUACGAUCGCAAGAUUAAAACUUAAAGGAAUUGACGGGGACCCGCACAAGCGGUGGAGUAUGUGGUUUAAUUCGAUGCUACGCGAGAAACCUUACCGACCCUUGACAUCUUGGUCGCGACUUCCAGAGAUGGUUGUCUUCAAUUCGGUUGGACCAAAGACAGAUGCUGCAUGGCUGUCGUCAGCUCGUGUCGUGAGAUGUUAGGUUAAGUCCUGCAACGAGCGCAACCCACGCCCUAUGUUGCCAGCGGGUAAUGCCGGGAACUCUUAGGGGACUGCCCGCGUCAAGCGGGAGGAAGGUGUGGAUGACGUCAAGUCAUCAUGGUUCUUACGGGUCGGGCUACAAACGUACUACAAUGGCGACAACAAUGGGUCGCAAUGCCGCAAGGCAAAGCCAAUCCUGAAAAGUCGUCUCAGUUCAGAUUGUCCUCUGCAACUCGAGGGCAUGAAGCUGGAAUCGCUAGUAAUCGCUGAUCAGAAUGCAGCGGUGAAUACGUUCCCGGGUCUUGUACACACCGCCUGUCAAACCAUGAGAGUCGAUUUCACCCGAAGUCGGUAGUUUAACGCAAG